rnacentral:lncRNA from 1 species
UUGAGUUGUCUGUUCGUUUCCAGGUUCGUUACUAACUGUUAUGUUAUCCCAAGAAAAUACCAUAUUUUCCUAUGUGUUGAGUUGUCUGUUCGUUUCCAGGUUCGUUACUAACUGUUAUGUUAUCCCAAGAAAAUACCAUAUUUUCCUAUGUGUUGAGUUGUCUGUUCGUUUCCAGGUUCGUUACUAACUGUUAUGUUAUCCCAAGAAAAUACCAUAUUUUCCUAUGUGUUGAGUUGUCUGUUCGUUUCCAGGUUCGUUACUAGUUAUUACCAUGUGUAUAAUAUUAGAUAAGUAUUUUAACCCUUAGUUAUUCUACCUUCGGGUGAUUACUAUUUACUAACUUAAUUGUAUUCUCAAAGUUUUGGAACCACACAGAAGCGUACAUCACAGUAUUCUCGAAGUUCUGUUAAGUUCCAAAAGAGUACAUUUCGUUGUGUAUUUGAAACUCUGUCGACAUUCUGAGGCGGAUAUAUUUGAAGCUCAGUAGAGGUCCAGCGGCGUAAUUUCAUAUUCGUUUUCAAAACUCAAGUGACACUCAGAGGGUACAGCAACUGUAUAAUCAAAGUCUAGUGUUAACCAAAGGCGUCACUUCGCAUUCGUAGUCGGAUUCGCAUUCGCACUCGCAUUCGUAUUUGUAGUCGUAUUCGUACUCACAUUCACAUUCGUAUUCGUAUUCGUAUUCGUAUUCGUAUUCGUAUUCGUAUUCGUAUUCGUAUUCGUAUUCAUAUUCGUAUUCGUAUUCGUAUUCAUAUUCGUAUUCGUAUUCUUAUUUGUAUUCGUAUUCGUAUUCGCAUUCGCAUUCGCAUUCGUAUUCGUAGUUGUAUUCGUAUUCGUAUUCGUAUUCGUAUUUGUAUUCGUAUUCGUAUAUUCGUAUACAUAUUCGUAUUCAUAUUCGUAUAUUCGUAUUUGUAUUAGAUUACAUUCGUAUUCAGAUUC